rnacentral:siRNA from 1 species
UAGUCUAAGUCAUGCUUAAAUAUC